rnacentral:tRNA from 1 species
AUCCUGAUAGCUUACCACUAAAGCAUUAGCCUUGUAAACUAAAAACGGACUUACUCCUCAGGAUC